GACGAACGCUGGCGGCGUGCUUAACACAUGCAAGUCGAACGGAAAGGCCCUGCUUUUGUGGGGUGCUCGAGUGGCGAACGGGUGAGUAACACGUGAGUAACCUGCCCUUGACUUUGGGAUAACUUCAGGAAACUGGGGCUAAUACCGGAUAGGAGCUCCUGCUGCAUGGUGGGGGUUGGAAAGUUUCGGCGGUUGGGGAUGGACUCGCGGCUUAUCAGCUUGUUGGUGGGGUAGUGGCUUACCAAGGCUUUGACGGGUAGCCGGCCUUAGAGGGUGACCGGCCACAUUGGGACUGAGAUACGGACCAGACUCCUACGGGAGGCAGCAGUGGAGAGUAUUGCACAGUGGGCGCAAGCCUGAUGCAGCAACGCCGCGUGCGGGAUGACGGCCUUCGGGUUGUAAACCGCUUUCGCCUGUGACGAGGCGUGAGUGACGGUAAUGGGUAAAGAAGCACCGGCUAACUACGUG
rnacentral:rRNA from 1 species